UGCUCUCCGAGUCUGUGCUGAGCACAACGCAGCUCCGCCCUCGCAAAGGCACAGCGCGGGCGCAGGCGCCCAGAGGCGCACAGGAGACCUCAGGCCCAGACUCCACUCCCCAGCUGUGAAAGGACUGCUGGCCAGACCCCCAAGCUAGCCCGCCAGGCCUCCAUAGAGCUGCCCAGCAUGGCUGCAUCCAGUACCAAGAGUUGGUGGGAGACGGGUGAGGUACAGGCUCAGUCUGCGGCCAAGACUCCGUCCUGCAAGGAAGGAGUGAUUGGCUGCUGGUCCUGCCCUGUCCGAGGAGGAGGACGGAACCCACCCACCAAGCUGUGGAGAGGUGGACCCCACAAAUCCCCUCGCAAGCCACGUCUGAGAGCGAGCAGAGGGAAGAAACUCAAGCGUUUGUAGUCCUCUUUCUUAACAACCAGGCUUAAAGCGCCAUCUUGUGUCUUGAAGGCAGAAGGAGAUCAGGAUGUGUGUGCUAGAAGCAGGCAGAGGAUCUUCACCAAUGUCUCAAAAACUAGAGAAGGAAACAUGGCGAUCCUCAAGGCCCGCGGCGGCCCCAGCCCUUCCCGCACCCUGCGAUAGUCUGGUGUUGGGAGGGUGGCCCACGUGUCCAAGCAACCACAUCAGGGAGGUUCUGGGAGAGGAGAAGGCAAAGCUCAUGCCCUCAUGAGGCAGGCAGUCCCAUCCAGGACUGGACUGGAUGAGCACCAAUAAAUAAGAAAACACAGCUGGCAGCUGACUGUGAAGGGUCUGGACAGGGUGCCGAAGUGAAGCGUAAUGAGCUGGAUAGUGAGGACCUCACUACAGAGGGACAUCUAUCUACACACAGCCUGAAGGGUGAGAAAGAUGGAUCCUUGCCCUGAGCCAGAAGUGCACACCCCAGAGAGAGCAGCUCCUGCGGAGGUCCUGUGGGGCAGGCAUGGUAGGAAUAUUAAAGAGAAGAAGCCAGGUGUGGCUGCAGCCAUGCAGGAGGAAGGGCGAUGGGGUUGGGGAGGCAGAGGAUGGGACUGGCAUGAGAAGAUGGAGAUGCAGAGCCCAGAUCGUGAUAGCCCCAAUAGUCCACGGGUAGGAGUUUGUAUUUUCUACUAAAAGCAAUGGGAGGGCGGGGCGCGGUAGCUCAUGCCUAUAAUUCCAGCACUUUGGGAGGCCGAGGCGGGUGGAUCACCUGAGGUCAGGAGUUCGAGAACAGCCUGACCAACAUGGUGAAACCCCAUCUUUACUAAAAAUACAAAAAUUAGACAAGUGUUAUGGCGCGCGCCUGUAAUCCCAGCUACUCAGGAGGCUGAGGCAGGAGAAUCGCUUGAACCCAGGAGGCGGAGGUUGCAGUGAGCUGAGAUCAUGCCAUUGCACUCCAGCCUGGGUGACAAGAGCGAAACUCCGCCUCAAAAAAAGGGAGGGGGGGCAAUGGGAAACCAUUGAAUCGUUUUUAGCAGGUGGCCUGAUUUGAUUUACAUUUUUUAGACAUGUAGCUUCACUAUCAUGGUUAUGGUGGUCCGUGCAUUACUAACAUUGCUAAAACCACCAUCAUGCCAGAAUUACCCUCCCAUUUGUGGGUUAAAACACUGCACCCAUCUGUCCCUCCCCAGAGUCCUCUUAGUGGCUGCUCUUAGGAGGAACUAACAUGGACUACAUUCCCCCAUCACACCCAGCACAAGUGCCCUCCUAGCCUCCCCCACCCAACUCAGUCCCAUUCACACGCGGCAUGCCAGGGACUCUCCCAUCAGGGGAACACCCUGUAACUCCCAAGUUCCUCCAAAGCCUCUUGAGAGGGACCAUGGUGCCCUGCAGGGAGUGGGUCCUGGUGGGUCCAGUGGAGGGAACGUCCUUGCUGAAACUGGCUGGGUCUUAGCCGGGAAGUGGUGACAGGUAUCUCUCACAUACGCUACGGGAACCCAGCGCAGCCAAUGGAGUCCAAUCAGCACACCUUGCGCCCACCCCUUCGUUUGGUAACUUGAGGCCACUGCCCACCCGCCAGGUACCCUCUCUCAAGCGUGCCCUGAAGUUCAGGGAAAGACGCCAGCACCCCCUGCUGGUUGCGCUCUCCCAUAGCAGGGCUCACAUUUUGGGAGAAAGAAAUCAGCUGUUAGCAGCUUUCGUUCUUCACCAUGUUAAGCAAAGCACAACAUUUUAUAACUGGGUGAAAAGCCAGAUAUUCUGUCAGCUGAUUUGAUUGUUCUGUACGCAUAUCCCUAAGCCAUUGUUUGACGGAUAUUUUUACUGAGUUGACUUUCUUCAUAAGAUGAUAGGACUAAUGAAGAGAAAAGGCAAUGGAGUUUUUAAAACCAGCGUGAUGAACCAAAUGCUGCCACUGACUAGCUAUGUACAUGUAAUCCAAAAGUUCCCUCCGUUGAAACAAAAUAACAGUGCUUACCUAACCAGGUCAGCUGUGAGCUGGGACUUCACAGACAGGCAUAGAGAGACAUGGAUGCAGGAAGGGCUUCCUUAGCUGAGAGGGUCGUGAAACUGGAAGGUAGUAGCAAGCAUUUUCCAGUUGGAUCUUUUGGCCGACAUUUGUAGUGGGGAGACAAACAUGUCUAAUUUUCCCCCCACCCCGGCACAUGGGCAGGUAGGAAGAUGCUGGUGGGUUUGGUUCGACAGUUUGGAGAAUGUCUUGUGGAAGGGGUGCUUUUUUUAAUGCACACUCAGGCACCAUGGGAGCCUGUUGUCACCCUGGAUAUCUAGCUCCAUGCCCUUGCCCUUUCACUCUGCCUCGACAAGAGUCAUGGCACCCAAAAUACAUGAGUUCAAAUCUGAGUUUCACAGGCUCAGGGAGGAACCCAAGCUACCAAAUGCACAGGCCCCUCCUGUAUACGGUUACAGCAGGUAAGGGAGUAACUUACUCAGUGCAAGCUGCUGUAACAAAAUAGCACAAGCUGGGUGGCUAAUCAACAACAGGCAUUUAUUUCUCACAGGUCUGGAGGCUGGAAGCCCAAGAUCAGGGUGCCAGUGCUGGCAUGGUUGGGUUCUGGUGAGGGCCCUCUUCCAGGUCACAGACAGCUGUCUUCUCAUUGCAUCCUCACAUGACAGAAAAGAAGUGCACAAGCUCUCUGGCCCCCUCUUACAGGCGCUAAUCCCAUUCACAACGGUCCUACCAUCAUGACCUCAUUACCUCCCAAAGACCACACCUCCAAAUACCACCACAUUGCCAUUAAGCUUCAACAUAUGAAUUUAAGGGGGAAACAAACAUCCAGUCCAUUGCAGAUUGUUCUGAUAAUAUGUGUGCCCAGGGCAUUGCCCCCACAGAAAAGAGCGACAUUGGAAGGCAAACCAAUGUCAGGUUUCCUAAUGUGCACGGAGUCAUCCCUGGAAGAGUGAGUCCGGUGAUCUUACCAGCUAAUUGCAUUGAGCUACACCACCUUGGGGAUCUACCUGCCAAGGAGAACAGAACACCACUGGCUUUGACACCCAUCUCUCAACAAUGAUGGAAGAAUGCUGGAAAUUUACCUGCUCUGGUAGCUCUCUCUAAGUUCAUCUUCCUUGUAUGGACUUUCUUUUUUUAUUGCUCUCAAAUACUUGUAUUAUUAAAUAUCUCAUUUAAAAUUUCUUUAAAAUACAUUAAAAGUGCAUUUAAAGAGUACAUUUUAAGAGUGCAGAUGAAAACAUAAUGAAUACAUCUUUGCUUAAGAAAAAAUAUUUCGGACACAGCAUGAACUCAGUUGCUGGUUCCAAGCCCCUCCCCUUCUCACUACACUGAACUUGGCAUGCAUUCUUUCUUCAGGUGUGUUUGUAAUCUUACUACAUAUGGACAUAUCCCCCAGCAAUAUCAGGGAUUGUUUUGCUUGUUCCUAGACAUCAUAUAAAUGGUAUCAUACCAAUUAUACCCCUACACUACUUAAUGUUUCAUUCAACAUUGUUUUGGGGGACUAUCCAUGUUGAUACAUGAAUUCUGUUGUGUUCAUUUUUUCCUCUUGUGAAAUAGUCCAUUAUGGAAAUUGUCCCUAGUGUGUCUAUCUGCACUCCUAAUUGACAGGCAUUUAGGCUGUUUUCCAUUUUCCUAAUUACAAUUAUGCUGAGUGAACAUUCCUGAACACAGGUGUGAGGUUGUCUCUGGAGCACAUGCCAGGGAACAGAAUUCUUAGGUCGUAAGGAAUGUGUACCUCCAGCCUUAGUCAAUAUUGCCAAUUGCUGUCCUAUCUGAUUUUAUUCAUUUACGCUCCCACUAGCAGUAUAUAUGAGUCUUUCUUUCACUUCUUGCCAACUCUUGCCAAUCUAAUGAAUGGGAAGUGGUAACUCAUUAUUAUUUCAAUUUGUAUUCCCUGAGACCUUAACACUUGUGUAUUGCACAUUCUGGUUCCUCUUUGGCAAAUUGCCUUGGCAUUAAGAUAGUAAAUUUUCCUUGCCACCUACGCUGGUUGAGUCAGGAUGCUUAAUUACUUGGAGGUAAAAAGCACCUGGCUGAAAUAGCCAUCCCUGAGGCUGCCUGUUGAGGAUAGGAGAUGCUUCAUCCAUCUUUAGAUCCUUUCUUGGAAACGCUGAGCCUGGCCAGCCAUGCAGGCUUUUCCAAGCUCUGAUGCUGCCCUGUGUCCACAAUAGCAUCCCCACAGCCUGGAUCCAUCAUUCCCAGCAUUAUGAUAGCUCCUUUGUCUCCUUGGAAGAGCCCAAAACCCACAGCUGAGGCCUCAGGGCUUUUCUAAUGUGCUUAGAACAGGGGUAAAGGUAAUGCCAACCAAAAUGGGGAAACCUGUAUUCCUGCUCAGUCACUGCUUAGUCAGCAUAAAUCACUCCAGAGGAUAGUUUGUUACUGACCUCAAAGACUCAGUUACAAAGAUGAUCACCAUAGCAUUGUUUACAGUAGCACCAAAAAAAGGAACCACCUAAAUAUCUCUAAAUGUCCAACAUCACCGUUUGAAAAAAUAAGGAAUGGUACAUCCUUCCAUGGAAUGUACCUUAAAUCCACCCAAAAUCAUACUGCAUAUGGAUAUGCAAUGUCAAGGAAACUUACUCGGGAGUCCUAGCUUGGGGUCCAUGGACGUCCAAGGAGAUGCUUAUCAAAGGGAGUUGGCACCCCCUGAGAUGCUCAUGAAAGUGCAGACUUCCGGGCCCCCCUCCAGACUGAAUCUGCACUUCCAGCUUGGAGGGCAGGAAUCCUAACAAGUUCCCCAGAUGAGUCUCAGGCACACUAAAGCCAGAGCAUCGAUGCCUGGGACCCAAAAUAGGGAAGAAGCACUCUGGUGUAUCAAGAGGAAAAAAGCAAGUUACAUACAAACGCAGUAUACAUAAAAACACCGCCUUCAUGUGGGUGUGGGUGUGGGUGUGGGUGUCGAUGUAUGCGUACUUUUGAAAAAAAAAAAUAUCGGCUGGGUG